UACGGAGGGAGCUAGCGUUGUUCGGAAUUACUGGGCGUAAAGCGCACGUAGGCGGCUUUGUAAGUUAGAGGUGAAAGCCCGGAGCUCAACUCCGGAAUUGCCUUUAAGACUGCAUCGCUUGAAUCCAGGAGAGGUGAGUGGAAUUCCGAGUGUAGAGGUGAAAUUCGUAGAUAUCGAGAGGAACAUCGGCGGCGAAGGCGGCCAACUGGACGAACACUGACGCUGAGACUCGAAAGCGUGGGGAGCAAACAGG
rnacentral:rRNA from 1 species